rnacentral:lncRNA from 1 species
UCUCCAAACGUCUCCUUCCUCCAAAAAAUCCCGAUCCAUUUCCAUCGUUUUGAUGUCGGUGUCGUGGUCGCGAUUCUCCCGAAACACCGCUAUCGUCACUCCCUUCCUCAUCACCAUGUGGUCGUCCAUGACGACGAUGACGACGUGGUUGCUCUUGCAGCAACUGUCUCAUCUGCUCCAACGUGACCUGAGGACGAGCUUGCAGUUCAGAAACCGCCUGACGGAUCUGUUCAACCGUCGUCUCCAUGUUAUUCAUCCUCUGUUCCAGAAUGUCAACCCGAUUCUCCAUGAUACUUCCCGUCAUCAAACCAGCUACUAUGUAAAUGUGAACCAAGGCUCUUGAUACCAAAUUGAUAGGUUCAAUUCAGUAUCAAAAACAAUUAAAAGCAAUCAACAGUAAUAACAGAGGGAAAUUGAGGAAAUAUUAUUAUAAUAUUGUCAACUA